CAGACGAACGCUGGCGGCAGGCCUAACACAUGCAAGUCGAACGAGAAGCCACCUUCGGGUGGUGGACAGUGGCAGACGGGUGAGUAACGCGUGGGAACGUGCCUUUCGGUUCGGGAUAACCCAGGGAAACUUGGGCUAAUACCGGAUACGCCCUCCGGGGGAAAGAUUCAUCGCCGAAAGAUCGGCCCGCGUCGGAUUAGCUAGUUGGUAGGGUAAUGGCCUACCAAGGCGAUGAUCCGUAGCUGGUCUGAGAGGAUGACCAGCCACACUGGGACUGAGACACGGCCCAGACUCCUACGGGAGGCAGCAGUGGGGAAUAUUGGACAAUGGGCGAAAGCCCUGAUCCAGCCAUGCCGCGUGGGUGAAGAAGGCCUUAGGGUUGUAAACCCCUUUCAGCGGGGAAGAUAAUGACGGUACCCGCAGAAGAAGUCCCGGCUAACUCCGUGCCAGCAGCGGC
rnacentral:rRNA from 1 species